rnacentral:rRNA from 1 species
GAUGAACGCUGGCGGCGUGCCUAAUACAUGCAAGUCGAACGAAAAGACCCGGAUCUUGCUCCUCGGACGUUAGCGGCGCACGGGUGAGUAACGUGUGGAUCCCCUACCUAUAAGUCUGGUAUAACUUCGGGAAACCGGAGCUAAUACCGUAUAAUAUCUUGAACCGUGUGGUUCAAUAGUUAAAGUCGGUUUUUCUGUCUCUUAUAGAUGGAUCCCGGCCGGUUUAGCUAGUUGGUACGGUCACGGCUUAUCAAGGGGGGCAUGCGUAGCCGAAGUGACAGGGUGGUAGGCGACACUGGAAGGGAGACGCGGUCCAGACGACUACGGGAGGCCGCAGUAGGGAAUCGUCGGCAAUGGGGGAAAGUAUGACGCAACAGCGGCAAGCGAGUGAUGAAAAUCUUCGGAUCGUAAAAAUCUCUUACUAGGGAAAAACCAAUUUGGAAGGAGACAAGCCCGUCGUGACGGUACCUAAUAAAAAAGCACCGGCUAACUACGUG